GACGAACGCUGGCGGCGUGCCUAAUACAUGCAAGUCGAGCGGACGAUUCGAAAGCUUGCUUUUGAAUCGUUAGCGGCGGACGGGUGAGUAACACGUGGGCAACCUGCCCUGUAGACGGGGAUAACACCGAGAAAUCGGUGCUAAUACCGGAUAACACGAAAUGUCGCAUGACGUUUCGUUGAAAGGCGGCGCAAGCUGCCGCUACAGGAUGGGCCCGCGGCGCAUUAGCUAGUUGGUGAGGUAACGGCUCACCAAGGCGACGAUGCGUAGCCGACCUGAGAGGGUGAUCGGCCACACUGGGACUGAGACACGGCCCAGACUCCUACGGGAGGCAGCAGUAGGGAAUCUUCCGCAAUGGGCGAAAGUCUGACGGAGCAACGCCGCGUGAGCGAAGAAGGCCUUCGGGUCGUAAAGCUCUGUUGUUAGGGAAGAACAAGUAACGUAGUAACUGACGUUACUAUGACGGUACCUAACGAGAAAGCCGCGGCUAACUACGUG
rnacentral:rRNA from 1 species